GUGCUCGCUUUAGCAGCAUAUAUACCAAAAUUGGAAUAAUACAGAGAAGAUUAGCAUGGCCCUGUUCAAGGAUGACGUGCAAAUUCGUGAAGUGUUCCAUAUUUGG
rnacentral:snRNA from 1 species